UCCAGACUCCUACGGGAGGCAGCAGUGGGGAAUAUUGCACAAUGGGGGAAACCCUGAUGCAGCAACGCCGCGUGAGUGAAGAAGUAUCUCGGUAUGUAAAGCUCUAUCAGCAGGGAAGAAGAUGACGGUACCUGAGUAAGAAGCCCCGGCUAACUACGUGCCAGCAGCCGCGGUAAUACGUAGGGGGCAAGCGUUAUCCGGAUUUACUGGGUGUAAAGGGAGCGUAGACGGCCAGGCAAGUCUGGAGUGAAAGCCCGGGGCUCAACCCCGGGACUGCUUUGGAAACUGCCAGGCUGGAGUGCUGGGGAGGCAAGCGGAAUUCCUAGUGUAGCGGUGAAAUGCGUAGAUAUUAGGAAGAACACCAGUGGCGAAGGCGGCUUGCUGGACAGUAACUGACGUUGAGGCUCGAAAGCGUGGGGAGCAAACAGGAUUAGAUACCCUCGUAG
rnacentral:rRNA from 1 species